ACUGCUAUUGCUUCAUUUGACCCAAAUUAGUGAUUUGAAUUUAUUAUUUACAUACAAUUAAUUAUCAGAUUACUGAAGAGAUUAUAAUAUUUAUUUCUCUUUCCUUCAGCUCCUCGGACAAACUUUGCACCGGAGAAUGACUACAUAUCCAAGUCAGCCUCUUUGCCCGGAUAUGGCAGGAAUGGAUUGCACAGGCCACAAAGUGCAGACUACUAUCAGUAUGACAGUGGCAGUGAAGUCAACUGGGGAAUCAGAGCAGAGUACAAGAUCUACCCGUAUGAAGCACUUAUUGUGACCACUAGGGGGCGUAACAGGUUGCCAAAGGAUGUAGACCGGGCCAGAUUGGAGCGGCAUCUUUCCCCGGAGGAGUUCUAUCAGGUGUUUGGGAUGACGAUGGUUGAGUUUGACCGUCUGGCACUGUGGAAGAGGAACGAGAUGAAGAAACAAGCCCGGCUGUUCUAACAUUUCUGUCCCACAUGCACACAGAGACCUGAAUACCUGUUCCAGUCUAACAUCCUCAGACACAUAGUCAUGCCUGGUCUGUACCUAGAAAUUGUGCAACUGUUCUUUGUGACAAAUGCAUAUAAAUGAUCAGACAGGCUAGAAUAAUUGACAAAGAAAAACAGAAAUAAAUAACAUAAACAGAAUGGUGGGAAUAUCUUAGUUUUACUUGAGUGUAAAGUGGUUCUUGGACAAAUUUUAUUUUGUUUCUGAAUGACAAAACGGAGGAAUCAGGAAUUGUCAAGAUUUUGAAUUUUGCCUUAUGUUUUCUAUUAAUUUAUGCACCAGCAAAGUGAGUGAACAGAAUGUAAAUAUGAUUAAUACAACUAUAAUGAGAGUGAAUGAAUCAUUCGACAUCAUCCAUCAAGUACAUUAUUAAGUAAUAUUUCAUUUUAAAGGUUAUAAAAUGAUAUUUUUUCAGUCCUUUUAUUUCACUAUUAUACAAGGACUACAUAAGCUUAGGUGGACUGAAAUGAGCGCUGAUUUGCUUGACAGUGAAUACCAAAGUCUGACUGUUAUUUGUGAAGUUAGCAGAUGAAAUUGAGCACUAUGGUGCUGUACUUUGUUCAGGUCAUUUCCAAGGAGUACGCAUACUGAAUGUACACUUUUCUCACAAGAAGACUUUAGGAUUAUUAGAGUAAUAUUGAUGAAACACACAUUGUAUAUUGUGAUGGUAGAAAUACAUAUGGAUUGUGUCUGAUACAGAUGAUGUAGACAAAACAGAUACUAGGAAAAAAUUAAGGUGCAAUGUUUUUCUUUCUUUCUGAGAUGUUAUGCUCUUAAAAAAGAGAUCUGUUGGUUAGGUUAGACCAGUUUACUUUCAUCACUCCUGUUAGGAUGGAUCAGCAAAUGCUGUGAUACCUUAAGUGGGUUUAAUAUAUUUUUGGGUCAUGCCAGGGCGAUAACAUCACCUGAUUUGGUAAUUAAAUAAAUGCAGAGGGAGUAAACAUGAAUUGGCCAAUAAUAGGGAUAACAUGUUCGCACUCAUACUAUUGGAUGAAAAACACAUUAUCACACCACUGAAGCAAGUGACAAAUAACAAGCUGUAACCCUGAUUAGGACCUAACAGUAACUGUGGGGUCUUUCAAGCCAAGGGAUACUGAUACUUAGUUUUUGUACCUCACUGACAAACAGGUGAAACCAUCAUGUUUUCUGCCUUUGUGUGUAGUGUUUACAACCUGUUUGCCCAAUAGAUUGUUAUGAAGUGUUCUAUUAAUUUCAUAGUGAAGGAAGAGAGCUAGAGUAUAACCAUAUUUUUGAGUCUCUCUUUUUUAAUCACUACUGCUACCUUACUAACUUUAUUUAUCUGUCCGUUUCAACAGACUAUGUACAUCUUUUAUUGCAAUAAAAGUUUGUUUUCUUCUGUAAAA